GCUGUGGUGGCUCAGUGGUUACGGCGUCUCAUUACAGAUAAGAAGGUCAUGUGUUCGAAUCCCAGCACCACCA